UACGUAGGGUGCGAGCGUUAAUCGGAAUUACUGGGCGUAAAGCGUGCGCAGGCGGUUUUGUAAGCCAGGUGUGAAAUCCCCGGGCUCAACCUGGGAAUGGCAUUUGGGACUGCAAGGCUGGAGUGUGGCAGAGGAGACUGGAAUUCCGCGUGUAGCAGUGAAAUGCGUAGAUAUGCGGAGGAACACCGAUGGCGAAGGCAAUCCCCUGGGCUGCACUGACGCUCAUGCACGAAAGCGUGGGGAGCAAACAGG
rnacentral:rRNA from 1 species